rnacentral:rRNA from 1 species
UUAAUCAAGAACGAAAGUUAGAGGUUCGAAGGCGAUCAGAUACCGCCCUAGUUCUAACCGUAAACUAUGCCUACUAGGUGUAUGAAUUAUUAGUUAUAAUAAUUUAUGCACCUUCUCGGAAACGAAAGUCUUUCGGUUCCGGGGGAAGUAUGGUUGCAAAGCUGAAACUUAAAGGAAUUGACGGAAGGGCACCACCAGGAGUGGAGCCUGCGGCUUAAUUUGACUCAACACGGGAAAACUCACCCGGGCCGGACACUAUAAGGAUUGACAGAUUGAUAGCUCUUUCAUGAUUUAGUGGUUGGUGGUGCAUGGCCGUUCUUAGUUCGUGGAUAUGAUUUGUCUGGUUGAUUCCGAUAACGAGCGAGACUUUUAUGUUAUAUUAAAUAAUAUUAUUGAUAAAUUUUAUAGUUUUUAUAUAAUAUUUUAUUUUAANAACANAUUAAUANNGUUUUACUAUUUGAGAGAGAGCAAUAACACGGCUGUGAUGCCCUUAGAUGUCCGG